UCUCAUUCUUAGAGCACAUCCAAACUUCUGUUUUAGAACCUUCCAAUUAUAUUUAUAUGUUCCGAUGUUCAGCCUUUGUAGUUUAAAACCUCCAAAUGAGAUAUACAAACUCAAUUUCACAAUAUGCAUCUAUAUUGUAUUUCACAUCCUCCAAAUGAGAGACGCAAACUCAAUUCUUCGGAACAUCCAUAUUUAUUUCAUAACAAUCUCUUUUUUUAACACACCCAUAUAUUGAAGAAUUUCAUAACUACCCUGUACAUCGGAAUACAACAGCAUCAACAAACUCUUUAUAAACUCUUUAUGUUUAGCACAUCCAUACAUUUUACUUUUUGAAACUACACUAUGCAUCCGAAUAGAACAACAUCAUAAUCUUAUCGUGGUCCUUCCAGAACUGCAACAUAUUGCUUCACUGCACACCAUCUUCACCUCUGAAAUAAUUCAUCACUCGUCUCAUCCGCAUCUGAAUCUUGUACUACUAAAUUUGUACUUUCAUUUUCC
rnacentral:lncRNA from 1 species